CGAAAAUUUGUGAGGUUCUAAUCAAGUUACCGGGGGCUAACCAAUGUCGAUAUCGUUUGAACUUUGAAAUUAGCAAAAUGCUCUAAAGCAAACCCAAAACUCGAUAUGGUGAAUUGCAAAUACUCUAUAGACUUUGGUAUAGGCAAGUCGUUUCCUUACGCUCUAUGGACUCUGCGGAUAGGAAAUGAAUGAAUGACUAACUGACAUUGAAUAUAUACAACUGGGAGAGGGUGUGAUCGGGAUCGGAGUGGUCGGUGUGGAUCGGCGCUUAUCUAAUCAAUGGAAAACCAAGUUGGUUAAGGAACUAGCAAGCAAGUGUUUAUGGCUGAUUGGUUUCACUUCAACGCCUCGUAUGAGCACAGCUGUGUGUGUGCACUCGGGCGAAGUCCUUACCCUUGGAAGAGUCAGGAUUAUCGCACUCUGGAAGGGAUUGCAGGGGAACUACUUCGCACGGACUAAACUCGCGAUCCGCACAACCGAGUAACAGCGUCUUCGAAGCGACGUGCGCGACUGGCGUCCAGUAAACAAACAGUGAUCCCAGCUAGCUCUGCUGCUGCAGUGCUGAAUGGCUACGAGUAUAUGGCCGUAUGGCUAUAUGGCGGUAGCAGUUCCCGUUCCCGUUCCCGCUCCCGAUCCCGAUCCAAUCCGAUCGCCCAGAAGUCGGAGAGUCGCUUCGUCGGCCCAGCUGACGACUCAAGGGCCACAAAGAACACGAUCGGCCGUCUCAACGUCAGCGUCAGCGGGUGUGCGUCGUGUAUCUCAGCUCCCAAGUGGGUGUGGGUGUGUGUGUGUGUGUGUGUGUGUGGAGCGCAGGCUUUAUCGAAGGCGCUCAGUGGUGGCAGCUGGCCCAAUCUUUGGCGGGAAAUAGCUUA
rnacentral:sRNA from 1 species